UGGGGUAUAGCCAAGUGGUAAGGCAGCGGGUUUUGAUCCCGCCAUCCGUUGGUUCGAGUCCAGCUACCCCAGCCA
rnacentral:tRNA from 1 species